rnacentral:lncRNA from 1 species
CCUCGUCCAACGGGAAUGAUCCACCAAGAAAAUUACAUUGAGGUGGUUCAUCAUCCAGGUAGACAAUCCUGUGUGGGACACAUCACGCAUAGGGACUCUAAGCCUAUCAGCUAUUUGUGUCCCAAAGUCUAUAUUGAGCUCCCUGAAACAUGAACUAAAUGUACUCUCGGCUACAAGGAAUCCAAAUCGUACGAUAGAAAACUCGGACCCAAUCCUCAAUAUGCUGAUGAUGCCUUGAAACCAAAUCAACCAACCUGGGUAGUUGAUCGAAGUAUCCCUCAAUAUUCUCUCCUCC